rnacentral:lncRNA from 1 species
UUUGUUAUACACAUGCAAUCUCCAUCGGAAUUGAGGACCUUAAUGUCUUCUCUGGUAAUCAAACGCUCAUCAGAGCUUUAAAUAGCAAGCUCGCACACAAAGAGAUCUUCGGUAUUGUCUCCGAUAUCAAAGUUCUUACAGUUUUGUUUCACGCGAUCUCCUUCUUCCAUAUCUCUCGCUCAAGGAACCUAGAGAAAGAUAGGUUCUGCAAGUCAGUCUUGUGUGAUCCUCUAUCUGCUAUGGACUUCUCCUUUGGCCGUUUAGUAUUAUCCAAUAACCUGAGAUUUGUAAUUGGUUGAACCCUUUUUAGCUCUUCUUUAAUAUAAUUCAGUUGAUUAAAAAAAAGAAAAAAAAUUAGCAUAUCUCUAGAUCUAGCAUUGCGAGGCAAACGAGAUACAUUUACUAAACUAAAAGCACUAAAUCUUUCUUUAUUGAAAAAUAACCCUUGUAGUUCGGUAGGAAUAGCUAGCCGAUUUUCGAAUAACACUUAUACAUGUCAUCUAAAUCCAUAAAACAAUAAGACGAACUUAGUUGACGAUUAAUAUAUAUGAGAUUCAUGCACUCGUUUGAAGACGAACUUAGUUGACGAUGAAUAGACCACUGCUCUAAGAUACGUAUGUAAUAUUGCUAUAUACUCAGAUAAUGAUAAAACACUAUAUAGAGAUAGAUACGAACUGUAUAUAUAUGUAUAGAUGCAAUAUGAAGAACAUGUAUGAAAAUUGAAGUAGGUGAUGGAAAACGACAAGUAGUCAAAAAGAAGGACCCACACGGCAAAUAUGAGUGCAUACUUUGUUUGGCGCAGAUAGUCGGAUAAGUGUCAGCGACUCAUUAUUCUUUUCUUCAAACCUCAGAUCAUGAUACUAACAAAAUUUUCAACUUUUCCUAAGAAUUUUUACUAGUGUUUAUAUUUAUAUUUUUAUGAACAUUAUUUAUUUUAUUAUUUUCGGAACCAAAGUUUAUCUGUUAAUUUUUUAUUAGUUUCAUAUAUUUCAAAUAAAU